UACAUAGGUCCCAGGCGUUGUUCGGAUUCACUGGGCGUAAAGGGUGCGUAGGUGGUGAGGUAAGUCGGAUGUGAAAGCUCGGAGCUCAACUCCGAAAUGGCAUUGGAAACUACCUUGCUCGAGGGUUGGAGGGGGGACUGGAAUACUUGGUGUAGCAGUGAAAUGCGUAGAUAUCAAGUGGAACACCAGUGGCGAAGGCGAGUCCCUGGACAACUCCUGACACUGAGGCACGAAAGCUAGGGGAGCAAACAGG
rnacentral:rRNA from 1 species